UUAAAUGGAGUAAAAUGAAAGAUUUUUCCUUAAACGGGGUAAAUUCUUUCAAAAUGAUCAAACUUAGGUGUAAAAGAUGGAAUUAACUCUUAACAGAAAGAAUGAUGUAUUAGCAGUGUACAUUGGGCUGCAGAAGCCCAAAGCCCUGGGUAGAGGACCGACAUCUUCACUCGGCACCAGGAGUUAGAGGUGUAACACCCCAAGCCACCCCUGAGUUGGCUGUCAUUACUCCUGGUUAUCAUCUAGGCUCAACUGCUCCACAGACCAACACAAGUN
rnacentral:lncRNA from 1 species